CCUACGGGAGGCAGCAGUGGGGAAUUUUCCGCAAUGGGCGAAAGCCUGACGGAGCAAUACCGCGUGAGGGAGGAAGGCUCUUGGGUUGUAAACCUCUUUUUUCAGGGAAGAUAAUGACGGUACCUGAGGAAUAAGCAUCGGCUAACUCCGUGCCAGCAGCCGCGGUAAUACGGAGGAUGCAAGCGUUAUCCGGAAUGAUUGGGCGUAAAGCGUCCGCAGGUGGUUUUAAAAGUCUGUUGUUAAAGCGUGAGGCUUAACCUCAUAAGGGCAAUGGAAACUGUAAGACUAGAGUACGUUCGGGGCAAGGGGAAUUCCCAGUGUAGCGGUGAAAUGCGUAGAGAUUGGGAAGAACACCGGUGGCGAAAGCGCCUUGCUAGGCCGUAACUGACACUGAGGGACGAAAGCUAGGGGAGCGAAUGGGAUUAGAUACCCCAGUAGUCCUAGCCGUAAACGAUGGAUACUAGGCGUUGUCUGUAUCGACCCGGACAGUGCCGUAGCUAACGCGUUAAGUAUCCCGCCUGGGGAGUACGCACGCAAGUGUGAAACUCAAAGGAAUUGACGGCUGAAGAGNGCGAGCGCGACGAGGGAGUAG
rnacentral:rRNA from 1 species